rnacentral:rRNA from 1 species
AUUGAACGCUGGCGGCAGGCCUAAUACAUGCAAGUCGAGCGGAUGAGUGGAGCUUGCUCCAUGAUUCAGCGGCGGACGGGUGAGUAAUGCCUAGGAAUCUGCCUGGUAGUGGGGGACAACGUUUCGAAAGGAACGCUAAUACCGCAUACGUCCUACGGGAGAAAGCAGGGGACCUUCGGGCCUUGCGCUAUCAGAUGAGCCUAGGUCGGAUUAGCUAGUAGGUGAGGUAAUGGCUCACCUAGGCGACGAUCCGUAACUGGUCUGAGAGGAUGAUCAGUCACACUGGAACUGAGACACGGUCCAGACUCCUACGGGAGGCAGCAGUGGGGAAUAUUGGACAAUGGGCGAAAGCCUGAUCCAGCCGUGCCGCGUGUGUGAAGAAGGUCUUCGGAUUGUAAAGCACUUUAAGUUGGGAGGAAGGGCAGUAAGUUAAUACCUUGCUGUUUUGACGUUACCAACAGAAUAAGCACCGGCUAACUUCGUGCCAGCAGCCGCCGUAAGAC